CGCAAUCAAUUGUUCUUUAAAUGAGGACCAGAAUCAACGGCAUCACGAGGAUCCUACUGUCUCCCCCCUCUAAUCAGUGAAAUUGAUCUCCCCGUGAAGAAGCGGGGAUAUAAAUAUAAGACGAGAAGACCCCAUGGAGCUUUAAACCCAACAACACCUAUCUAUUUUAUUCCCCCAUAUUUAUACGGUUAUGUUUGUUUGGUUUUAGGUUGGGGUGACCGCGGAGUAUAAAACAACCUCCACGAAGAAAAGACUAAUAAUCUUUAUCAGAGAAAGACAUUUCUAAGAAAUAAUAUAUUAACUUUAAAUGAUCCGAUAUUCGAUUAACGAAUCAAGUUACCCUGGGGAUAACAGCGCAAUCCACCUUAAGAGCCCUUAUCGAC
rnacentral:rRNA from 1 species